GCCAGCAGCCAUAUCGCUCUGCAACUCACAACUGGCAACCCACUGAAGCUCAGCAGGUGUGAGCCUGGUCAGUACCUGGAUGGGAGACCUCCUGGGAAAAACUAAGGUUGCUGUUGGAA
ensembl:rRNA 5S_rRNA 5S ribosomal RNA